UGGAUAUAACAUUCGUUGCGAUGGAGACGAUAUAAAAGCCCGGCUAGCACGAAUAUUUCGUUGUUGAUCGCAGCAACAAUCUCCGAUGUUGUUGUAGUCGAUCCUUAAAAUUCUACCGCUUCCCUGAAAAGCCGUGCGAGACUCGAACGGCGCCAAGCCUGGACCACGUCGGUGCUCCGACAAAAUGGGGGCGGUUCAGUUUUGAUUCCGCCAAUGUCAGCGAGGAUCUGCAGCGUGCACUUCGUGAACACCUGCAAGGACAACGCUGAGGCUCAUCCUGCAACAAGUCACUAGACGAGAUGCCAGCUGAGGUGUUUAAUAAAGACUAAUUGCAGGAAACCUA